GACGAACGCUGGCGGCGUGCCUGACACAUGCAAGUCGGACGGUUCUUGCACCUUCAAGCUUGCUUGCUGGUGCAGGGAUAGUGGCGGACGGGUGAGUAACGCGUGAACAUCUACCCAUUGGAGGGGGACAACCCGUCGAAAGGCGGGCUAAUACCGCGUAAGCCGUGAGGUGAGAGGCUGCCUAUUGGUGGCCGCCGAUGGAUGGGUUCGCGUCCUAUCAGCUGGUUGGUGGGGUAACGGCCUACCAAGGCGAAGACGGGUAGCCGGUCUGAGAGGAUGGCCGGCCACACUGGAACUGAGACACGGUCCAGACUCCUACGGGAGGCAGCAGGUGGGGAAUAUUGGGCAAUGGGGGUAACCCUGACCCAGCGACGCCGCGUGAGGGACGAAGGUUUUCGGAUCGUAAACCUCUGUUGUACGGGAAGAAGGAAUUGACGGUACCGUACGAGAAAGCCCCGGCAAACUACGUG
rnacentral:rRNA from 1 species